AUGGCCUUCCCGUCCACCCAGCUGCUCGGACAGACUCCGGGAGCAUCUGCUCCAUCCUCUCCACAUCGUCACACCUCCAUUAACACUAAUCCAGCUUGUGGCCUCUUCUCCCAAACGCAAAUAGUUACAGGUGUCUCAGCCAUGAAUCUAGGGGUGAGAAAAGAAACCUCCCCUCACCUACAAGGUCAAAGCGCAGGUAUGGGUCCUGGCAGGACCCAUCAGCAGAAUCUGGCUGGAAAACUCUCACGCUAAAAACAGCUGUGAUAUGAUGAGCAGCCCUAUGGAGAGGGUGUGUGGGAAGAACCUGAAGUCUCCAGCCAGCAGCCACAUGAAUACAUCAUCUUGGAAGCAGAUCCUCCAGCCCCAGUCCAGCCUUCAGAUGACUGCAGCCCUGGUCAACAUCUCAACUGCAGUCUCAUGAGAGACUCCAGACCAGAACCACCCUGCUGAGCCUCUUUUGGAUUCUUGACCCUCAGAAACCCUGUGAGAUCAUAAAUGCCAGUCGUUUUAAGCUGCUAAGUUUUGGGGUCAUUUGUUAGCCAGCAAGAUAACAAAUACAGAUCUGCAUGAAACAUACAAGCAGAAGGAAGUAGGCAGUCAGGUCUACAAGUCUGAAAUUCAGGGAAGCAGUUCAGGCUGAAAUAUAAAUUUGAGAGUUAUUAACAUAUAGGUGAUAUUAAAAGCCAUCAGGAGCAAAGGUUUCUCUUUUUAUGGAAGCUUUCUCCACUUCCCUACUCCCUCUUCUGCGCUCUGAUGUUGGCUUGCCUUUGCUGUGAGGUUGCACGGCGAUGGCUUUGCUGUGCGCCCAUCUGACCAUUAGGUUCAGACAUAACUGAGUCUUCUUUGGAUCUUCUUCUAAACUUGGUACAAACUGGAAGUGCUUAAUAAAUGCUUUUGGGAUGCUAUGAAUGCACAGGGGAGCUUAGAGGGUGAAGCGGACACUGUAAGUGUUAUGACUCUAUCCCUUUUUGCACGGUUGGGCUAACUUUCAACUGCCAGCUUUGGCCUCUCACAGCCUUGGUACCUCCAACCCCUGCAUUGGGAGGCCCCAGAAAAGCCUAGAAUGACCAUCUCCCAGAAGCAGCCCUCAGCUGAAGAUCAUCAUGAGUUGACAUAUAAACAUCUCAGCUUACCCCUUAUGUAGGUUUGGGAGUGGAUGGUUCCAGAUCCUGUGUUUUGCGUUGUUUCUCAGUUUCCUCACAGGAUGCAGCCCUAGUGCCCACUUUGGCAGUGGGCUUAGAACAGCCCUUCCCUGGCUGCCUUCCCUUCUCUGGGUCAUUUCCCUGCUCUCCUGCUGGGGCUCCCCCCAUAGCCAGUACCUCUCAAAUAAACAAUUUGUGCUCAAAUCCGCUCAGGAACUGCUUCUUAGGGAACCAAACCGUGAUUAUGGAGAGGCAGAGCGUGGAUAUGUGGAG
rnacentral:lncRNA from 1 species